UGGGGAAUAUUGGACAAUGGGCGCAAGCCUGAUCCAGCCAUGCCGCGUGGGUGAAGAAGGCCCUAGGGUUGUAAACCCCUUUCAGCGGGGAAGAUAAUGACGGUACCCGCAGAAGAAGCCCCGGCUAACUCCGUGCCAGCAGCCGCGGUAAUACGGAGGGGGCUAGCGUUGUUCGGAAUUACUGGGCGUAAAGCGCGCGUAGGCGGACCUGCAAGUCGGGGGUGAAAGCCCGAGGCUCAACCUCGGAACUGCCUUCGAUACUGCGGGUCUCGAGUCCGGGAGAGGUGAGUGGAAUUCCUAGUGUAGAGGUGAAAUUCGUAGAUAUUAGGAAGAACACCAGUGGCGAAGGCGGCUCACUGGCCCGGUACUGACGCGGAGGCGCGAAAGCGUGGGGAGCAAACAGG
rnacentral:rRNA from 1 species